rnacentral:rRNA from 1 species
AACNAACGCUGGCGGUAUGCCUAACACAUGCAAGUCGAACGAGAUCAUAUUUUUGUUUACAAGAAUAUGAUUGCAGUGGCCGAACGGGUGAGGAACACGUAAGAACUUACCUUUUGGCGGGGGAUAACAACCGGGAAACUGUUGCUAAUACCCCCAAUAAUGCUGAGGAGCAAAAGGGAACUACCAAAAAGAGAGGCUUGCGUCUGAUUAGCUAGUUGGAGGAGGUAAAUGCUCCCCAAGGCGACGAUCAGUAGCUGGUCUGAGAGGAUGAUCAGCCACACUGGGACUGAGAUACGGCCCAGACUCCUACGGGAGGCAGCAGUGGGGAAUUUUCCACAAUGGGCGAAAGCCUGAUGGAGCAAUACCGCGUGAGGGAUGAAGUAUCGUGUACGUAACCUCUUUCUGACGAAGAGCUCUGCG